UACAUGAGUGACGAGCGUUAUCCGUAUUUAUUAGGCGUAAAGGGUGAGAAGACUGUAAAAGUAGUUGUAAUUAACUAUAACGGGGUACCGGGUUGUAUUACAAAACCUUUUUACCAGAAUUUUAGUAGAGUGUAAAAAAUAAAAUUUUCGAGUUAGUGAUAAAAUACUAUAAGCUUGCAAGUUUUUUCAAAGGCGAAAGCGAUCAACUUACUAAUUUUGACGUUGAAUCACGAAAGCAUGGGUUUCGAAUAGGAUUAGAUACCCUGGUAGUCCAAGCACUAAACGAUGAGUAUUUGGUUUUUUAACCUAAAUUAACGUUUAAAUACUCCGCCUGGGCAGUACAGUCGCAAGGUUGAAACUCAACAGAAUUGGCGGGAAUUUGUCUUAAUGGUGGAACAUGUGGUUUAAUGCGAGAAUCCGCGCAAAAUCUUACCAAAAUUUGUUAGUUUUGAUGUAUCUAUUCCUUAACGAGAUAUAAUAUUAAAAACUAUAAUGGUACUGCAUGGCUGUCGUCAGUUUGUGCUUUGAAGUAUAGAAUUAAUUUUUUUAACAAACGCAACUCCUUAAAUUAGUUUUAAUUAAUUGUUUUUAAAAAUUUAUUUUGAACUUUUAGUUUUCUAAUUAUGUGGUUAACUCAUUUACAAUGUUAAAUGAAUUAAAGGGGGGAAGGACUGAAGUCAAGUCAUUAUGGUCCAUAUAUUUUGGGCUACACACGUGUUACAUAGAUAGAAACAAAGAGAUGCAAAAGAGCGAUCUGGAGCUAAACUUAAAAAACUAUGCGCCUAAACGAAUUGUUUUCUGAAACUCGAAAGCAUGAAGUCGAAAUCAUUAGUAAUCGCAGAUUAGCACGCUGCGGUGGAUCACAAAUCAAAUUUUGCACACACCGCCCAUCACGCUCUGAGAGUUAGUAUAUGUUGAACAACUGCUAAUUUCUUUCUUACGGGUACAUGUUAAUAUAAACAGGUAUUUGAGCUUAAUUUACUUUAUAAGCAGGUCAGUAAAGAAAGGUUUCUAGGAUACACUGGUGAUCUGAGUGAAGUUG
rnacentral:rRNA from 1 species